CACACUUAUCUACAAACAGUCUUCAGAGAGGUGAUCGGAUGGAAGAUAUUAACAUGAUUCUGGAGUCUGCUAGGAGCUGCUCUGACUGGUGGCUACUGAGAUACCAGUGACGGGAAGGUGCUACAUCGUUAACAACAGUGCCUUUCAAAAAUGAUGAACUAUAAUCUACUGAAAACACAAGGACAAACCCUACUGUGAAGCAGUGGAGACUGGAGUCCUGCAUUUGCUGAACUUUCUUUUUAUGUGUUGGAUUCUGAUUUUAUAUUCAUUUCCAUUCAUGUGGACUCUGAAGAGUUAAACUCACCAAGGACACUUGAAGAAGUCACGUCCAGGGAUCACUGUCAUCACAAAUGGAGAAAAGGCCAAUGUCUUUCCAUGCUGCCUCACCAGAAAAGGACUGAGUUGGUACAGACCUUCACUCCAGCUUACUGUCCAUGACCUCGUCACACUCCAGGCCCAGGCUUGAGCUACAUGUUCUAGAAAGCCCCUAACUUCUCUAGGUCUCAAGUCUAAUCUCUGCAUCUGUGCCAGGUUCCCUGAGACUACUCUAAAGCUUGAUGAUUCACUAGGAUUCACAGGACUCAGAAAAGCUUACUUUUCUGAAUUAGAUGUACUGUUCUGAUAUAUUACAGCAAAAGGAUAUGAGUUCAAAUCAGAAUAAAAUAAAAGGUACAUGGGGCAGAGUCCAGGAGAAACCA
rnacentral:lncRNA from 1 species